rnacentral:rRNA from 1 species
GUGUCAGCAGCCGCGGUAAUACGUAGGGGGCGAGCGUUGUCCGGAUUCAUUGGGCGUAAAGCGCUUUAAGGCGGUUCGCUAAGUCGGGUGUGAAACCUCCAGGCUCAACCUGGAGACGCCACUCGAUACUGGCGUGACUAGAGUCCGGUAGGGGACCACGGAAUUCCUGGUGUAGCGGUGAAAUGCGCAGAUAUCAGGAGGAACACCAGUGGCGAAGGCGGUGGUCUGGGCCGGAACUGACGCUGUAGAGCGAAAGCGUGGGGAGCGAACAGGAUUAGAUACCCCGGUAGUCC